GACGCGCAUGUGUAGUGCCAUGUCUCGACACCAGGUGCUAGUUCCGGCACAAGUAGCAGGAAUUCGCCGUGGCGCGCCCUCCAAGAUUGCGCGGAAUUUGACCGCACCUGCAUUACCGCGCCCUAGGAAGUCACCCGCUCCACUCUCCGUACGGGACGGGCGACUAUGGCCGGGAAAGAAACAGCUCGACCCUACUUGACGAUGUCGGGCGGCAGCUGCAACGUCGGCCAGGGUAGAAGCAGUGCAGCCUCUGAUCUGAACGAAAGCAGGAAGUCGCCGCCUCCACGGUCCGUACGGGACGAGGUGACUGUGGCCCGGAAAGAAACAGCUCGACCCUACUUUACGAUGUCGAGCGGCCACUACAACUUGGCCCCGGGUACAAGCAGUGCACCCUCUGAUCUGGACGGAAGCAAUGGCCGCUGUUUGGUGGGGAGAGCGCAAGGCUGAGAUAUAGAUGGAAAAGGAAAGUUGCAAAGCUGGCUUGACGCAUACUGCCACAUCGCAGCAUAAAAAGUGUUCCCGCCGAAACCAGAGAAGCAGCGGGGCACCAGCGAGACAACCAGGCUGCCUACAGAAAGCAAGAGUGCGACGUGUGCCGGUUCGCUUUCACCGACGCGGAGGCCUUCGAAAAGCACGCCGCUGACCACGUGCUUGGGAAAAAACACAACUGUCCCGAGUGUGGUAAACUGUUUCCGACGCCUUCGAAGCUCACGAGACAUUUAGCUACACACGGCGAACCAUCCUUUGAGUGCGCCGUCUGCGGCAAAAAAUAUUAUACCAUAGGUGGGCACAGGAACCAUAUGCUGUCAUGCCACCUAGGCGCACACGACUGAGAAGCCGUCGAAGCGUCUCGUUCACACCACAGCACACACAGCGAAAUUGGACGAGCCCGUCGGGAAGCACCGUCGCACCUGACAGGGGCAUCGGCAUCGGUGUAGCCGGAUAUUCGCCUGGCAGGAGUGACCUCUCUGGAUGUCACUCUGGCGCCAAGACGUGUCGUGUGCCUUCGCAGAAGAACUUGCGGUCUAGGCCUCAACUGUUAUAGCUGUGCGCUAACAUUUUGACAAACAAAAUUGGGCUAAUCUUAUUCCUUCUGACUACGGCUGACAAAUGCCUGCCAAUAAAGUUCUUACAAUAAAGUUAUCGCGAGGAGUACUGUGCGCCACCUGUUUGAUUUUCUUCGAAGAACGCGUCCGUUCUUCGCAGUCCUCUUGCCAUGGUUAAAAUAAAUUUAUAUGCCUCCUGGAUUGAACAAAAGAGUGAGAUAACAUUCUUCGAAAAUAUAGUAGUAAAGAUAUCUAUAGUAGCAUUCUUAAUAGUGAAGUUGAGUAAAGUGCCGUCCUAAUAUUCUCGAGUUUUCUGGUAAAGUUAUGAAUAGGUUUAGCGCCCUGCAUUGUACAAACAACAUAGUACGCAUUUUUUUUUCAAUGGAGGAAGCUCAAGACUGCCCGGAAAAACGCGAUGCUCAUAGCGGAAAAAACAGCUUCACUAGUCGGCUUAGCUGGUGCAUGUAAACAUUGCGGAGGCUAAUAAAUGGACUUUAAUGAUGAUGCUUUGCUCCCAUUCCCUGAAAAAUGCCUGCGAAUAAAUUGAUUGCACUGGUUAUCUUGA